rnacentral:rRNA from 1 species
GAUGAACGCUGGCGGCGUGCCUAAUACAUGCAAGUCGAGCGAACAGACGAGGAGCUUGCUCCUCUGAAGUUAGCGGCGGACGGGUGAGUAACACGUGGAUAACCUACCUAUAAGACUGGGAUAACUUCGGGAAACCGGAGCUAAUACCGGAUAAUAUAUUGAACCGCAUGGUUCAAUAGUGAAAGACGGUUUUGCUGUCACUUAUAGAUGGAUCCGCGCCGCAUUAGCUAGUUGGUAAGGUAACGGCUUACCAAGGCAACGAUGCGUAGUCGACCUGAGAGGGUGAUCGGCCACACUGGAACUGAGACACGGUCCAGACUCCUACGGGAGGCAGCAGUAGGGAAUCUUCCGCAAUGGGCGAAAGCCUGACGGAGCAACGCCGCGUGAGUGAUGAAGGUCUUCGGAUCGUAAAACUCUGUUAUUAGGGAAGAACAAAUGUGUAAGUAACUAUGCACGUCUUGACGGUACCUAAUCAGAAAGCCACGGCUAACUACGUG